rnacentral:rRNA from 1 species
GAUGAACGCUGGCGGCGUGCCUAACACAUGCAAGUCGAACGUGAAGGUCGAGAUGAUUACUUCGGUUUGAUUCUUGGCUGGAAAGUGGCGAACGGGUGAGUAACACGUAGGUAACCUGCCUCGAAGUGGGGGACAACCAUUGGAAACGGUGGCUAAUACCGCAUAGUCCCAUUUUUGUGAGAACAUGAAUGGGUAAAACUCCGGUGCUUCGAGAGGGGCCUGCGUCCGAUUAGCUAGUUGGUGGGGUAAAAGCCCACCAAGGCGACGAUCGGUAGCUGGUCUGAGAGGACGAUCAGUCACACGGGAACUGAGACACGGUCCCGACUCCUACGGGGGGCAGCAGUGAGGAAUAUUGCACAAUGGGGGGAACCCUGAUGCAGCAACGCCGCGUGGAGGAUGAAGGCUUCGGUCGUAAACUCCUUUUCUGGGGGAAGAGAGAGGACGGUACCCCAGGAAUAAGUCACGGCUAACUACG